GACGAACGCUGGCGGCGUGCUUAACACAUGCAAGUCGAACGAAGAGCGAUGGAAGCUUGCUUCUAUCACUCUUAGUGGCGAACGGGUGAGUAACGCGUAAUCAACCUGCCCUUCAGAGGGGGACAACAGUUGGAAACGACUGCUAAUACCGCAUACGAUCUAAUCUCGGCAUCGAGGAAAGAUGAAAGGUGGCCUCUAUUUAUAAGCUAUCACUGAAGGAGGGGACUGCGUCUGAUUAGCUAGUUGGAGGGGUAACGGCCCACCAAGGCGAUGAUCAGUAGCCGGUCUGAGAGGAUGAACGGCCACAUUGGGACUGAGACACGGCCCAGACUCCUACGGGAGGCAGCAGUGGGGAAUCUUCCGCAAUGGACGAAAGUCUGACGGAGCAACGCCGCGUGAGUGAUGACGGCCUUCGGGAUGUAAAGCUCUGUUAAUCGGGACGAAAGGCCUUCUUGCGAACAGUUAGAAGGAUUGACGGUACCGGAAUAGAAAGCCACGGCUAACUACGUG
rnacentral:rRNA from 1 species